rnacentral:rRNA from 1 species
UACGAAGGGGGGCUAGCGUUGCUCGGAAUGACUGGGCGUAAAGGGCGCGUAGGCGGAGUGCUUUGUCAGGCGUGAAAUUCCAGGGCUUAACCUUGGGGCUGCGUUCGAGACGGGCAUUCUUGAGUAUGGAAGAGGGUCGUGGAAUUCCCAGUGUAGAGGUGAAAUUCGUAGAUAUUGGGAAGAACACCGAUGGCGAAGGCACUCUACUGGGCCAUUACUGACACUGAGAGACGAAAGCUAGGGGAGCAAACAGG